ACGUAGGAAUAGCCGUUUGAUUGAACCACGGGAAAAACACAAGAAUUUGAGGAGAGAUAAAGAUUCAUAGGAUUUUUUCCAUGAGGUUCUACCUCUUGUUAAAUUUCCUCCAAAACUUGUAUGGGAAGAGGCAUUCCAUAGAAAUUUUAUAGGAUUUCAUAGGGUUCAUUCCUUUGAUUCAAAGGGCUUUAUAGGAAAAUUCCUAUAGGAAUGAAAUCCUCUAAAAUUCUUAUGAAUUUCCUUUGAAUCAAAUGGGGCUUAAAUUUCCUCCAAAACUUGUAUGGGAAGAGACAUUCCAUAGGAAUUCAUAAGGUUCAUUCCUUUGAUUCAAAGGGCUCUGUAGGAAAAAUUCCUAAAGGAACGAAAUCCUCUAAAAUUUCUAUAAAUUUCCUUUGAAUCCAAGGUGGCCUCGAAUCUGCAAAGUGCAAACCCUAAGAAGCUCUAGCCUAGAAAGGGUUUAACUUAUCACUUGGAGCUCAAACACAAGCUGAUUUAUAGUAAGAGUAUCUACUAAUCAUCAUCAGUAAAAAGCUGAGUGCCUAUCAAGCUAUCCGCGAAAAAAAGACAUAGAUGAACUGGCCAAGCAACAAACUGAAAGGCACAGAGAGUAGAAACACAAUAAACAGUUAAUAGGAC
rnacentral:lncRNA from 1 species